AUGUAAUGCCUACAAUGUUAAUUCACUAGAUCCCAUUAGAACUCCGCAAUAGCGCACUUGGGCUAGAGUAAUAUUGGGAUGGGUGACCUCUUGGGAAUUCCUAGUGUUUUACAUG
rnacentral:rRNA from 1 species